rnacentral:ncRNA from 2 species
CUGUCCGAGGGGCGCUGCAGCAGGCCUAUACCCAGUAACGGGGCCUGUCAGGCUCGGAUGGGGCGUUAACCAUACGCAUCAACGGCGCCCAUUCGCA